CUUUAGGUAGGUCUGUUUCCUCGUUUGCAAACUGCGGAGCUUACCGUAGAUGAUCUCUAGGAAUUUGGUCCUCAGACUUUGCUUUACAGACAGGUAACCUUUUAACAAUCUAUCUGGUGGCCCAUUAAAAUCGCCUUCUGGGUCAGACUAUAUUUGGAUUAUUUGAACCACCUGAGCAAUUUCAGGAUAUCAAGAGCUUGAGACCAGGCAGUGCCGAACGACAGUAGAAUGGUCGACACUGAGUUUUCCGGCAACUUCUUGUGUAGUUGUAAGAGGAUCAGCUUCAAUGAUUGCUCUCAGUUGGUCGUUGUCACCUUCCGCCGGCUGGCCACCACACUGCUCAUCUUCAAGGCUCUUAUCUCCUUUGCAGAACUUCUUGCACUACCAUUGCACUGUAUGUUUGUUAGCAGUUCCCGGGCCAAAUGCAUUGCUGAUGUUGCGUGUUGUCUCUGCUGCUUUACAACCCAUUUUGACCUCAAAUAAGAAAACCACUGGAAUUUGCUUUUUGUCUAACAUCAUUUCCAUAGUCUAAAAUA